GACGAACGCUGGCGGCGUGCUUAACACAUGCAAGUCGAACGGAAAGGCCCUGCCUUUGUGGGGUGCUCGAGUGGCGAACGGGUGAGUAACACGUGAGUAACCUGCCCUUGACUUUGGGAUAACUUCAGGAAACUGGGGCUAAUACCGGAUAGGAUCUCCUGCUGCAUGGUGGGGGUUGGAAAGUUUCGGCCGUUGGGGAUGGACUCGCGGCUUAUCCGCUUGUUGGUGGAGUAGUGGCCUACCAAGGCUUUGACGGGUAGCCGGCCUGAGAGGGUGGCCGGCCACAUUGGGACUGAGAUACGGACCAGACUCCAACGGGAGGCAGCAGUGGGGAAUCUUGCACAGUGGGCGCAAGCCUGAUGCAGCAGCGCCGCGUGCGGAAUGACGGCCUUCGGGUUGUAAACCGAUUUCGCCUGUGACGAAGCGUGAGUGACGGUAAUGGGUAAAGAAGCACCGGCUAACUACGUG
rnacentral:rRNA from 1 species